CUAAAGAUGAGGGGGAGGCAGAAGCAGAGCAGGGGUGAGGAAGGGGGGACUCCCCAUGUGCCGGGAAUCCUCUAGGUUAUCUGUGCAGGCGCGUACGUGCUGAUCGUACACCCCCGGCACUGCCGACAGCCUCCGGCUGUAGGGAGAUGAGGGUUGGGAAGUACAUCGGGCGCAGCGGAGGCAUGGCAUGGCUGCCCAGGGAAGCAGCCUGCGGUAGCCGUUCCACAUCUGUCCCUCACGUGGGUGCUGAGCUAAGGCUGAAGAUGCCUUUGUGCAGCUCUUUUCGGUAGCGAGUUAAUUGAAGCGGACACGGGCAUCUUCAGCGAGGAGUGAAAGCGCAUUUUGCACUCAGAGAUGCACGUUUGUGGGUCCCUUUCUUCCCUGCCCAAGGAGCCAGAAAGUUUUACGAACCGUUUUGCAUCCAGUCCAUGAAAAGUGAAACUUCAGUCUUCAGGCUUCAGCCCGGAGCAUUGACACUGGAAGCAGAAGAGACUUUGGACAGGUGGGGGCAUCCAAGUAUGUCAGCUCUACCCAAUACCUGCAACCCGUGGGAGGUGCUGGUUCCAGAGCAAUGCUCUGGUGAUCCUGUCCGGCAGUCCCCUGUCACCGCCUCGCCUGGGCCAGCUUUCCGGGGCACGCCGGCAAAUGGAGGGGCUCCCUAGGCCCCGGUUAACGGCCUCCACCAAGACAUUUCAUGGGGAACAGGAUUACUUUCAUGCCAGCUUUUUAAACUACGAAGCACAGGUGACUGCUGGAGAGUCACGGGAUGUGCUGUUCACGUGGGUAUUCGGACGGGGUGCUCGUGCACAAACGGAGCGUGGGAUGCGUGUGCGCAGCCAGCCCCUCUGUGUGCUGGAUGCGGUAGGGUACGGUGCUUUGCGGUGUGAAAGUUUUGGAGGGGUGGGAGAGAGAGGAAGGAGGAUGGGACGUGAGCACGUGUUCAUCCCACAUGCAAGAUGUCUCAGAGGAUGUUGUUCUGUACUUCCCAGUCACAUCCGACCAUCCAGAAGCAGCUGAGUCAGUCCGCUAGAGUAUUCAUGCUCCUGGCAAGACAGCUGCAGGCAGAUGCAUCUCAGGUUGAACGCACCGCUUCCAGGAGUCAGCUCUUUCCUGAGUGAAAGGAUCGCUAAUCCCUCCGAUGCCAGGAGAGGCCAGUGAGGAGAGGGGGAUGCUCCACCUGAAGAGCCUGCAGAAAGGGACCAUCAGGAGCUCCCGCUCACUGACCUUCUGCUCUCGCUUGACCAGGCAGUGCUGUGCACAGGGAAGAGCAAAAGACGGACUGCAAAGCAGUGAAGGAGCUGCUGCGUCAGUCCAGUCAUUGACUGCCAAACCCUCCUUCCGUCUCGGAAAGGUGGCUGUGCAGCUCUCCUGAAGGAAAAGGUUUAACCGCUUGUAGUGGAAAAGCAUGGCCUGAAGGGAUCAAAAUAAGCUACAGCAGUUUUUUAUCACUACUUAUGCAGCCAGGCCAGAGGAGAACCGAGCAGCAGGCUCUACUUGCUGGUGAACCAAGGGCGACCAUGACAACUGCAGGAACUUGGUAGAUGCUCAGAGACAGAGAAUGCGGAAGAUCUGCAGGAACCUGUCCAGCUAGCGCCUAGUCUGCUUUCUAGGCAACUGACAGGCACCUCUAGUUCUCUCCCUGCAUGUUGCUGGAAGACUGAAAAGUCCAUCUAUAGCUGUCUUAACCACACUAAUCACACUUUAAUGCAAGUGCUACACUUACGAUUCUCUAGGUAUGUGGUAACAUCUCCAGUUUGACAUUUAUUAAAAAUUGUACUGAAAAUUCCAAAAUUAUGUCCCAUUCUUUUUACAUGCCACCUUCUUGUUUCUCUGUGCCGGUUUGCUUCCACUUCAGACACUAACUUUCCCUUCUACACGUGCUGUCACUAGCCACAUGCUGCAUUUCCCAUUAUUUCACAUUACCCUCCUUACUAAAAGCUGAAGCAAAACAUCCAUCUACUUUUGCAGCCAUAGAUUAUUUUCAGUCUCAAUUUCAGCCUCACUAAUAGACCUUUUCUGUGCCUUGCAAUUCCUACCUGUCCAAAAUUACAUCCGUCUUUCUAAAGGCACUGGAUUCUCGUGGACAGAAAGACUAGUUGAAAAAUCACUGGAGAUUUUAUUGUAAUUUACCACUAAAGACAUUCUUUGUGCUGUCUAUGAGCAACCAAUACCCUCAGACCGAAAUAUUCCAGUACGUCUCUAUACUAUGGAGUAAGGCUUUGUUGGAAAAAAAAAAAAAACCAAAAAACAACAAACACCAAAAACAAAACUAAGAAAACCAAACCCAAACCUGUUACUUUAACUACAGCUUUACUAAAAUUGCUUACAAAAAUCCAGUAGACCACCAAAUUGACAAAGGUGGCAGAGUCUUUAAAAUCUGUUGUGUUGUCCCGAUGUUGCAUAGCCACAUUCCCAUGCAUAAAACCAACUGUCUUCCUUUUCUAGAGGGAAAGUCGUUUUGAAUGGGCUAGUGGAAACUCUUUGUGGAGUCUCUCCUCACUCCCAACUAUGUGGCUUUAGAAUCCAUUCCCCCAGCAUGACUCCAUUUCAGAUACAGACUGAAAAAGUCAGAUCAAGGAGAACAACUGGAAUAAGCAUUUUGUACAUGUGUCCUGGUUUCAGCUGGGAUAGAGUUAGUUUUCUUUCUAGUAGCUGGUAUAGUGUUAUGUUUUGGAUUUAGGAUGA